CACCGUUUGAAUUGCGAGGAAAGAGUUACAGUUUUAGAAAAGAAUACCUGACACAAUGAACAAAAACCAGAGCUUUUGAAUACAGAUUUCCAGUAAAACCAAACCCAGCUUGGGUCAGAUGCACCUUUCCAGCAACCACCAUCUCAGCAACAACCUGCCAGCUGUCAACUGGAAGUUCAGCUUCUGGGAACUUCAGCCCCCUUCUCAGAGGAGCAAGGUCCUAGCACCAACAGCACCUGCAGUGGAGCCCAAGUAUGGCUGCUUCAUGGAGAAGAUAUUGAAAUGUGAUCACUGAGGCUCAGUGGGAAUCCCUUUGCUCUCAAACUCCCCGAUGCAAUGCCUUCUGAUUUCAACAGAAAAGCAAGAGGCUCCAGGCACCCCAUUCAGGGACUGCCACCAAAGUACCCGCAAAUCCUUCAUGAAAGGGGAGACAUUGACACAUUCUUUUUUUAUUCUCUGGUAGGUAUCUGUUUGCGUGCAAAUCCGUGAGUGCUUGCAUCUCGUGUAUUUGAAAAUCCUGUUUAAGAAUGCAGAGGUCCAUAUAGUGUCAUUAAAACAAAUGAGUAUAACCCUUUGGUCAUCUAGGUGAAAGCAUUUUGUUGGGUUUUUUUUUUUUCAAAUUGCUAUUGCUAUAUAUAAAUGUAACGUAUAGCAAUAACCGUAGAAAGAUACUGUGCCCUUGUGUAUGGAUAAUUAAAAUAGGAACAUCUCUGGACUAAAUUAAAAUGUGUAAAAACCAAAUCCUUAUAGCAUCCAUGAAAUUACAGAAGCUACAAGUGAAUCACUAGCCCAGGGACGAAGCAUUUCUCUCAUUACUUCAUGAACCUCUUCCAUGAUCACAGUUUUACAUUUUCACAAAUCUACAUGGUUCUUUUUAUGUCACUAAAUAUCUCAGCUCACUUUUACUGCCCUCCUUAUAGACAUGCGAGUUGGUAACAGCACGCAAACAGUCUCCAAUCAUUUAAGAGAAACCAACACUUUCAGUGCUUUUGAUGACACUUAUUACUACAAAUUAUGAACUAAAAAACUGAGCAGGAUAUAAGGAGAUAAAUUACAUCUUUAGAACAUAAAGGGGGAAAAAUGCAUAUUUUUCAGUACCAGAAAAUCAAAACCCAUGGGUCCUAAUCUAUGAAUUAAGAAGACCUGAAUACCUGAGAACGUGUACACAGAUUUUUGCCCUAACCCAUGACCUGCUUAACUGUGUAACUCCCCUCAACAGAAAGAUCCUGAUUUGCCCUUUUCUCCUCUGUACUUUGAACAUAAGAGGUGUUAUUACCCAUAACUUUUUAUUUAAAGGAAUUGUGCAGCUGGGAAAAUGAAUGAAUUUAAUUAUCAAUGCAGUGUGAAAAAAAUCAUUAGAGCAAGGGCCUGGAACGCCACAUAUUAAAAAUAAACAAAGGCUAUUAAAAAACAGUUCCAAAAAGGAACGUCAGUUUUUCUUCAAUUCUUAAAAUGUAAAUACCAAAAAGAAAACCAUAUGUAAACAUCUAUAGUUACAGAAGAAAUUACUCUUUAAGAAAAUGUUAAAUGACUGACUGGAUCAUUUAACUUUAAAUCUAUACUUUAUGUGGCAGUAUAGGAAGGUCAUUUGAUUGCCAUGCAUAGAAAAAUGAGAAUUCUAAUGUGUUCUCAAAGUUUCACCUUCAUAAGACAAAAUUUUCAUUAUGAAAUUGUAUUUAAUGGUGAGCACAUAGAACUUCUUCCUCAAUUGCAUGGGAUGACACUUCUGUCAGAGGCGUGUGAACCAGAGCAACUCCAUCUUGAAUGGGGGCUGGGUAAAAUGAUGCUGAGACCCACUGGGCUGCAUUCCCAGACUGUUAAGGCAUUCUAAGUCACAGGAUGAGAUAGGAGGCUGACACAAGACAUGGGUCGUAAAGACCUUGCUGAUAAAAACAGAUUGUAGUAAAGAAGACUGCUAAAACCCACCAAAACCAAGAUGGCCAUGACAGUGACCUCUGGUCAUCCUGACUGCUACUCUCCCACCAGCGCCAUGACAGUUUACAAAUGCCGUGGUAAUGUCAGGAAGUUACCCUCUAUGGUCUAAAAAGGGAAUAUAUGAAUAAUCCACACGUUGUUUAGCAUAUCAUCAAGAAAUAACCAUAAAAAUGGGCAACCAGCAGUGCUUGGGGAUGCUCUGUCUAUGGAGUAGCAAUUCUUUUAUUCCUUUACUUUCU
rnacentral:lncRNA from 1 species